GACGAACGCUGGCGGCGUGCUUAACACAUGCAAGUCGAACGGAAAGGCCCUGCUUUUGUGGGGUGCUCGAGUGGCGAACGGGUGAGUAACACGUGAGUAACCUGCCCUUGACUUUGGGAUAACACUAGGAAACUGGGGCUAAUACAGGGUAGAAGCUCCUGCUGCACGGGGGGGGUUGGAAAGUUUCGGCGGUGGGGGAUGGACUAGCGGCUUAUCAGCUUGUUGGUGGGGUAGUGGCUUACCAAGGCUUUGACGGGUAGCCGGCCUGAGAGGGUGACCGGCCACAUUGGGACUGAGAUACGGCCCAGUCUCCUACGGGAGGCAGCAGUGGGGAAUAUUGCACAAUGGGCGGAAGCCUGAUGCAGCAACGCCGCGUGCGGGAUGACGGCCUUCGGGUUGUAAACCGCUUUCGCCUGUGACGAAGCGUGAGUGACGGUAAUGGGUAAAGAAGCACCGGCUAACUACGUG
rnacentral:rRNA from 1 species